ACGAAGGGAGCUAGCGUUGUUCGGAAUCACUGGGCGUAAAGGGCGCGUAGGCGGCCUUGUAAGUUAGAUGUGAAAGCCCCGGGCUUAACCUGGGAACUGCAUUUAAGACUGCAAAGCUUGAGGACGAGAGAGGAAAGUGGAAUUGUGAGUGUAGAGGUGAAAUUCGUAGAUAUUCACAAGAACACCAGUGGCGAAGGCGACUUUCUGGCUCGUAUCUGACGCUAAGGCGCGAAAGCGUGGGGAGCAAACAGGA
rnacentral:rRNA from 1 species